ACGAACGCUGGCGGCGUGCCUAAUACAUGCAAGUAGAACGCUGAAGAGAGGAGCUUGCUCUUCUUGGAUGAGUUGCGAACGGGUGAGUAACGCGUAGGUAACCUGCCUUGUAGCGGGGGAUAACUAUUGGAAACGAUAGCUAAUACCGCAUAACAAUGGAUGACACAUGUCAUUUAUUUGAAAGGGGCAAUUGUUCCACUACAAGAUGGACCUGCGUUGUAUUAGCUAGUAGGUGAGGUAAUGGCUCACCUAGGCGACGAUACAUAGCCGACCUGAGAGGGUGAUCGGCCACACUGGGACUGAGACACGGCCCAGACUCCUACGGGAGGCAGCAGUAGGGAAUCUUCGGCAAUGGGGGCAACCCUGACCGAGCAACGCCGCGUGAGUGAAGAAGGUUUUCGGAUCGUAAAGCUCUGUUGUAAGUCAAGAACGGGUGUGAGAGUGGAAAGUUCACACUGUGACGGUAGCUUACCAGAAAGGGACGGCUAACUACGUGCCAGCAGCCGCGGUAAUACGUAGGUCCCGAGCGUUGUCCGGAUUUAUUGGGCGUAAAGCGAGCGCAGGCGGUUUGAUAAGUCUGAAGUUAAAGGCUGUGGCUCAACCAUAGUUCGCUUUGGAAACUGUCAAACUUGAGUGCAGAAGGGGAGAGUGGAAUUCCAUGUGUAGCGGUGAAAUGCGUAGAUAUAUGGAGGAACACCGGUGGCGAAAGCGGCUCUCUGGUCUGUAACUGACGCUGAGGCUCGAAAGCGUGGGGAGCGAACAGGAUUAGAUACCCUGGUAGUCCACGCCGUAAACGAUGAGUGCUAGGUGUUGGAUCCUUUCCGGGAUUCAGUGCCGCAGCUAACGCAUUAAGCACUCCGCCUGGGGAGUACGACCGCAAGGUUGAAACUCAAAGGAAUUGACGGGGGCCCGCACAAGCGGUGGAGCAUGUGGUUUAAUUCGAAGCAACGCGAAGAACCUUACCAAGUCUUGACAUCCUGCGACGAUGCUGGAAACAGUAUUUUCCUUCGGGACGCAGAGACAGGUGGUGCAUGGUUGUCGUCAGCUCGUGUCGUGAGAUGUUGGGUUAAGUCCCGCAACGAGCGCAACCCCUAUUGUUAGUUGCCAUCAUUCAGUUGGGCACUCUAGCGAGACUGCCGGUAAUAAACCGGAGGAAGGUGGGGAUGACGUCAAAUCAUCAUGCCCCUUAUGACCUGGGCUACACACGUGCUACAAUGGUUGGUACAACGAGUUGCGAGUCGGUGACGGCGAGCUAAUCUCUUAAAGCCAAUCUCAGUUCGGAUUGUAGGCUGCAACUCGCCUACAUGAAGUCGGAAUCGCUAGUAAUCGCGGAUCAGCACGCCGCGGUGAAUACGUUCCCGGGCCUUGUACACACCGCCCGUCACACCACGAGAGUUUGUAACACCCGAAGUCGGUGAGGUAACCUUUUGGAGCCAGCCGCCUAAGGUGGGACAGAUGAUUGGGGUG
rnacentral:rRNA from 1 species